AAGCGCUUGUGACCAGACUUGUGCCCGGCGGAUCAACCAGCGUUCUCGCUGGUGCACUCCUCCGGGCUCAGGCCAGCAUCAGUUUGGGCGGUUGGAUAAAGGUCUCUGUCACGUACCUCCUCUCGGGGAGGCCUUAUAGGGGAGACGACAUGCAACCAGCCUGGACUGAGGUCCGCGCAUCUGCUAGGAUGCUGGCGUAAUGGCUGUAAGCGG
rnacentral:rRNA from 1 species